rnacentral:rRNA from 1 species
CUGAUCAGCAUGCCGCGUGUCUGAGAAGGCCUUCGGGUUGUAAAGGACUUUUGUCAGGGAAGAAAAGGGCGGGGUUAAUACCCCUGUCUGAUGACGGUACCUGAAGAAUAAGCACCGGCUAACUACGUGCCAGCAGCCGCGGUAAUACGUAGGGUGCGAGCGUUAAUCGGAAUUACUGGGCGUAAAGCGGGCGCAGACGGUUACUUAAGCAGGAUGUGAAAUCCCCGGGCUCAACCUGGGAACUGCGUUCUGAACUGGGUGACUAGAGUGUGUCAGAGGGAGGUAGAAUUCCACGUGUAGCAGUGAAAUGCGUAGAGAUGUGGAGGAAUACCGAUGGCGAAGGCAGCCUCCUGGGAUAACACUGACGUUCAUGCCCGAAAGCGUGGGUAGCAAACA